UCAACUUGUUUGCCAGAGGACACACACUCCUCACAAAGCAACAGAGAGCGAGAGCAAGAGAGAGAGAGAGACAGAGACACCUGGACGGGUCACCCUGGACCAUCGAUCAGAUCGUCCGCAGCCAGCCGGGCCGCUCUGGGGGUUGAGGCCCCGACGCCGGACAACAUUUCCCCUGACCUGUUCGACAAGCCUGCCUAAUUACAGCAGCGUCUUCCUCCCCUAUCACUUCCCCAUUUGCUGGACAGCUAAGGCGACUUAUGUGAGCGCUGGCCUGUGAGACGCCGAGCCGGGGAUGGAGCCAGAGCCAGGAUUGGUGAAGCCUUGUUCGGGAAGGGGGAGCUGGAGCGCAGGCGCAGGACUGAGGCUGUGUAGUGUGUAGGAGAAACUAUGGCAGCUCAUCUAAAGUCGCUGUUUGUUUUUCCGUUCUGGGCUACUGUAUAAAAUGGCGGUUCAUUCUAAGAUCCUCCUAAAUGUGACACACUGGACCUUUAAGGACACUUGGCUUUUGUUAGGGAUCAACUUUGUGACCCUCUAGUUACACAACAGUCUCUGUGAACCAGGGAAGAAGACUUACUUGCUGCUGUGCUGUUUGAUGUGAGCGAUGGGAGGAGGGGCCCUCGCAGCCGUCUCUCGCUCUAUCAGUGACGUCAGCAUUGAGUUUGGACAGACCGACUUCCCCCUGAGAAUAAAAAAACACAUCUUUAACACCCGCAAUCGUCCAGGAUGUAAACGUAUUCAUGUAUGUUACCGUUUGUAUAACGUCUUACUUCUGG